AAAAGAAAAAGAAAAAGAGAACUCUAUCUAGUAUUCAUAUUUCCCAAUAUCGAUUUACACUCUUAUUCGUUCCUCUAAAUUAUUUAUGAAAAAAUAGGAAGAAAAUAAGCAUAUUUCCACUUUACGUAGUUAAUUAAAGAAAUAUUUACAAAUUAUAUUUCUCAUCUCACAAAUAUAUUUUUCAUGCAAUACGAGAACGUAAUUAUUAUUAAAAAAAAAAUAACAACGUCAAUGUUAAUUGGUUAUUGGAUUUUAUUAUAAGUUUAUCGUACGUUUAUAUAAUUUUUUUUUCAAAUGAGAAAAUAUUCCAUGAAGAAAAAAAGAGAGAAAUAUAUCUUUUAUGUGGUUAAUUAGUUUAUGGAAUCGAGUUUUGAGCAUCGAUGGUAGGUAUUUCCAAUUCCAUUCAGUUAAUGUUAAUUAACCACGUACACCUAGAAAUGCUAGUAUAAUCGUAAUACUGGACAAAAACAGUCGCUAUAUUGUAAUUUGACGUGUAAUUACGAAAUUCAGGGUAUAUAUUGUCUCGCCUUUGACCGAGUUUAACUUUAAUAUUCAUCUAAAUGAAAUGGAAAAAAUUACAGAAUAUUCUAGCAUAUUUGGAGGAAACAAAGGAACAGAAAGUUGAAUUUACAAUAGUUAGUCACGGCAAGAUAUUCUAUUAUUAUCAUCAAAUCCUUCGUGAUUGCCGCCAUGUUAAAUACGAUUCAAUGAAAACUUCACCGAUGAAAAAUAAAUAAUCGUCUCGGUAUAUUUAUAUUUUUAAAAUUUCACUCGAUUGCUUCAUUACUGUUUUUCAUAAAAUGGGAAUUAAAAAUUGGAAAUUGAAAAUAAAUUGAAAAUAAAAUGUUAUUAUAUAUCGUUACAUGAAUUUUAUUAACAAAAAACUAUUUUUUAGGGCAAGGAGGAUUUCGAAAUAACACGCAAAGCGGUGUAAAGCAAUAUGAGAAUUUUCAAAAAUAGAGAAUAAAAAGGAACAAUGUGUUUCAUAAUGUUUUCUUGGCGGCACUAUUUUUGUUCCACGUAUUACGUUCUAAUGCACGCCGAACAGAAAAGUCUCUCUCCACGAAAAUGAAACGCAAUUUUUUUUAAAUACAAUUCUUCUUUUUUUUAUCUUUCUCUCUUUUUUAUCUAUUUUUUUUUCUUUUUUUUUUUCUAGUGCAUAUUCUUCCCAAUGUUGCAACCAAACGAGACACGAGAAAAUUUUUGAAAUAUUUAUACCGCAAAAUAAUAUAUGCUUCCUACGUAUAAAUUCCUGCUGAAUAUAUAAGGUGUUUCAGAAACGGUGAUAUAACUAAACAGAAGGUUAUUCAUAUGCAAACGUAUAAAAAUCUUAAAUAGGAUAUUUUAGAUAUUCUAGCAUCCUGUAUAUGUGUAUACGUGUUUUGAAUUAACGUAUAAGGUUUAAAAAAAGUAGAAAGAAAAAGGCAAGAGUGGAAUAACAACAUACCCACGUUCGAGCAGAUAUUCAUAUGCACGUGUUUUGCGAACGCUAUCUAUGAAAGAAUCAGUAAAAGCUGCUUUUGUCUAGAAUACUAAUAUAAAAUUGCAUCAGAGAAAUUAUAAUUCCGAAUAUAAAUAUUACAUUUCGCGUGAUGAAGCAUUUACAUUAAUAAAUCUAUGAUAAUAUCGCAACAAUUAUGGAAAUCCAAAUCAAAGAAUAAUUUCAUUCGAUCGAACUUAGAGAAUGAAUAAAAAAGUAAGUACAAAUAAUUUUUCGAAUUUCCUUGAUAUUCAGCAGGAUUAAACAUGAAUUUUACAUUACUACUUGCAUCCUCAUGAAUCAAUAUAAAAACGUUAUCGAUUUUUCCCUCUUUUUGAAGCUUCAAGGGAAGGAAAAUCAUCCCUAUUACCUUUCGAAAUGUUGUUCUCACGUUCGAUUCGCUAUUUUCGUAUUCGUAUCGCGCGGUAACAAUUGGUAUUCAUAUUGGAACCAUUGUCUGGUCGAUUAUAAACAAGCUUUUGUCGAUUUCACGGUAGUUUCAGCCCGAGAUCAGAACGCGAUAUCCCUCAGGUAUAUGCAUAUGAAUAAUGGUGGCUGCAAGAGUUAAUUCUCGCUCAUCGAGAAUCACGUCGUACGUUAAACUUUGAUAUUCGUAUUAUUCUCUUGGAUGAAUGGAGAGUUGUUCUCGUUAAUUCCCUCCAGAAUAAUAUCGAGGAAAAUUUUCUUUCCAAAAAUAAUAAAAAAAAUGUCGAAUGGGUAUUGCAAAUUAUAGAAUUAUUAUUUUAUUCUAUGCAUUUACAUAAUAAAAUUCGAAUAUACAAAAAUUCACAAAAUAUACGCGUGAACUAAUGCAUUGUUACAUGCAAUUUGAUAUAAAAAUUUGAUUUUCUUUAAUUCACAGGAAGAUUUCAAGGUUAUUUCUUUUCGUAUUUUAUCGAAUCAUUUCGAAACUGAAUUUAACUUUCAAAAAAGUUUUUUAAAUAUAUGAUAAAUUUUUUAGACAUUAGUAUUUGCAGAAAUCAAACGAUUAGGUUUGAUAAAAAUAAAUGGUUUGAUUUCUACGAUAAAUACGAUUCUAAAUUUUGUUCGCAAUAGCAAAAAAAAAAAAAAAAAAAGAAAGAAAGAAAAAACAGGAGAUGCAUUAAACGAGCAGGUUUUUCGAAAAAUAAGAUAAGUGGAACAAAAAAUUUCUCGUCACUGGUUACCGAGGAUAGAGUUUUAUACGAAAUUAUGCAUCUUGUUAGAACGACGACACUCGUAAACGAUCGUUUUUGUUCUCGACGGAAGCUCAACGAAAUUGGAAUUUUUUUUUGGGAUCAACGUAAUAGAAGUUUCAGAAAAUUUGAAAAUCAGGCUUAUUAUGUGAUUAUAUAUAU